AUUGAACGCUGGCGGCAGGCCUAACACAUGCAAGUCGAACGAGCGGCGGACGGGUGAGUAAUGUCUGGGAAACUGCCUGAUGGAGGGGGCUAACUACUGGAAACGGUAGCUAAUACCGCAUACCAUCAGAUGUGCCCAGAUGGGAUUAGCUAGUUGGUGGGGUAACGGGUCACCAAGGCGAAGAUCCCUAGCUGGUCUGAGAGGAUGACCAGCCACACUGAAACUGAGACACGGUCCGGCCUCCUCCGUGAGGCAGCAGUGGGGAAUAUUGCACAAUGGGCGCAAGCCUGAUGCAGCCAUGCCGAGUGUGUGAAGAAGGCCUUCGGGUUGUAAAGUACUUUCAGCGGGGAGGCGUUACCCGCAGAAGAAGCACCGGCUAACGCCGUGCCAGCAGCCGCGGUAAUUC
rnacentral:rRNA from 1 species